rnacentral:sRNA from 1 species
CCCAGCGCUGAAGCGCUGGGCUAUUUUCAAUCGUCCGCUUCGCGGACG